UACGUAGGGUGCAGGCGUUAAUCGGAAUUACUGGGCGUAAAGCGUGCGCAGGCGGUCUUUUAAGUCAGAUGUGAAAUCCCCGGGCUUAACCGGGGAACUGCGUCUGAUACUGGAUGGCUUGAAUCCGGGAGAGGGAUGCGGAAUUCCAGGUGUAGCGGUGAAAUGCGUAGAUAUCUGGAGGAACACCGGUGGCGAAGGCGGCAUCCUGGACCGGCAUUGACGCUGAGGAGCGAAAGCCAGGGGAGCAAACGGG
rnacentral:rRNA from 1 species